rnacentral:lncRNA from 10 species
CCAAGAUUAAAGAUCCAAUAUGGUGACGAAACUUCAGCUUUAAGAGGUUAAAAGACUUGUCCAGAGUCAUGUUAACAGGAUCUCCCUCUGUUACCCAGGCUGGAGUGCAGCAGCGCAAUCUCAGCUCACUGCACCCUCCACCUCCCAGGCUCAGGAGAUUCUCCUGCUUCAGCCUCCCAACUAGCUGGGAUUACAAGCGUGCACCACCAAGCCCAGCUGAUUUUCUGUAUUUUAGUAGAGAUGGGGUUUCACCUAAUAUUAAAGUCCAUCAUCUUGUACUAAAGAUAUAAAAUGUUGACCUUUCCUUUGUCUGUACUGCCUGGUAAAAUCUUGUCAAAAUUUCCAAAUUAUUUCACUAUGAAGCAUUACUACAGUAAACUAUGGUAUUUGUUGGUAGCAUAUGUGUGUGUGUAUUUUGAUCUCAUUUUUCAUCCUCAAAAUUCACCAAUGCUUACAAUUUUAAAAACCUGUUCAAUGUGUAGAGAGCAGGAUUAUUAUUUUGUGUAUGAGAGAAGACUCCUUAGAGUGCUAUGUUUUUAAAAUAAUACUUUUAGCAAUUAUUAAUACAGUACACUUUGUUUUAAACAUUCUUUAAACAACUUUUAAAAUUGUAUAUUAAACAAAACAAAGCUGUCUUGCCUUUAGGAGGUUCUUUAACGUCUUUGUGCUUCAGUUUCUUCAGCAAUAAAAUGGGAAUAACAAUAAUGGCCCUAUCUACUAUUCAAAUAUCUAUUAAGGCAAGUUAGGACAAUAGAAAUAGAUACAAAACC